rnacentral:rRNA from 1 species
GACGAACGCUGGCGGCGUGCCUAAUACAUGCAAGUCGACCUUAGUGGCGAACGGUUGAGUAACACCUGGGUAACCUUCCCAUCAGAAGGGGAUAACACUUGGAAACAGGUGCUAAUACCGUAUACUGAUUGAUGUACCCGCGGUGCAUUAGCUAGUUGUUGAGGUAACGGCUCACCAAGGCCACGAUGCAUAGCCGACCUGAGAGGGGGAUAGGCCAAAUUGGGACUGAGACACGGCCCAAACUCCUACGGGAGGCAGCAGUAGGGAAUAGUAGGCAAUGGACGAAAGCCUGACCGAGCAACGCCGCGUGAGUGAAGAAGGUUUUCGGAUCGUAAAACUCUGUUGUUAGAGAAGCGGUAUCUAACCAGAAAGCCACGGCUAACUACGUGCCAGCAGCCGCGGUAAUAC